rnacentral:rRNA from 1 species
AUUGAACGCUGGCGGCAUGCCUUACACAUGCAAGUCGAACGGCAGCACGGGAGCAAUCCUGGUGGCGAGUGGCGAACGGGUGAGUAAUAUAUCGGAACGUGCCCAGUCGUGGGGGAUAACGUAGCGAAAGCUACGCUAAUACCGCAUACGAUCUAUGGAUGAAAGCGGGGGAUCGCAAGACCUCGCGCGAUUGGAGCGGCCGAUAUCAGAUUAGGUAGUUGGUGAGGUAAAGGCUCACCAAGCCGACGAUCUGUAGCUGGUCUGAGAGGACGACCAGCCACACUGGGACUGAGACACGGCCCAGAGUCCUACGGGAGGCAGCAGUGGGGAAUUUUGGACAAUGGGCGCGAGCCUGAUCCAGCAAUGCCGCGUGCAGGAUGAAGGCCUUCGGGUUGUAAACUGCUUUUGUACGGAACGAAACGGCGAGCUCUAAUACAGUUUGCUAAUGACGGUACCGUAAGAAUAAGCACCGGCUAACUACGUGCCAGCCGCCGCAGUAA